CCAAGGAGUCUGACAUGUGCGCAAGCCGUCGCGCUACUCAAGCGCCGAAGGCAAAGUGAAAGCGUCGGUCGGCGCUCCGUCGCCGGCCGUAGUUGGGAUCCCGAGCCUACCGUUUUCAAUAGCGGGGCGAGGGCGCACCAACCGUCCGCCUACUCCCGUCACCGUUCGGUGCGGCGGAACGUGAGCGGACACGUCGGGACCCGAAAGGUGGUGAACUAUGCCUGGGCAGGACGAAGCCAGAGGAAACUCUGGUGGAGGUCCGUAGCGAUUCUGACGUGCAAAUCGAUCGUCAGACCUGGGUAUAGGGGCGAAAGACUAAUCGAACCUCC
rnacentral:rRNA from 1 species